UACGAACUGCGCGAACGUUAUUCGGAAUCACUGGGCUUACAGGGUGCGUAGGCGGCCGAUCAGGUCCGAUGUGAAAUCCCACAGCUCAACUGUGGAAUGGCAUUGGAAACCGACCGGCUCGAGUGAGCUAGAGAUGUACGGAACUUCCGGUGGAGCGGUGAAAUGUGUUGAGAUCGGAAGGAACACCAGAGGCGAAAGCGGUACAUUGGGGCUUGUCUGACGCUGAGGCACGAAAGCUAGGGGAGCGAACGGG
rnacentral:rRNA from 2 species